UACGGAGGGUGCAAGCGUUAAUCGGAAUUACUGGGCGUAAAGCGCACGCAGGCGGUUGGAUAAGUUAGAUGUGAAAGCCCCGGGCUCAACCUGGGAAUUGCAUUUAAAACUGUCCAGCUAGAGUCUUGUAGAGGGGGGUAGAAUUCCAGGGUGUAGCGGUGAAAUGCGUAGAGAUCUGGAGGAAUACGGUGGCGAAGGCGGCCCCCUGGACAAAGACUGACGCUCAGGUGCGAAAGCGU
rnacentral:rRNA from 1 species